rnacentral:rRNA from 1 species
GUGCACCAGGCGCGAAACCUUUACAAUGUCUUCACGGACGAUAGGGGAAUCCUGAGUGCUCUAGCAUUGCUAGAGCUUUUGCUUACUGAAAAAAGGUAGGCGAAUAAGUGGUGGGUAAGACGGGUGCCAGCCGCCGCGGUAAUACCCGCGCCACAAGUGGUGACCACGUUUUAUUGGGGUCUAAAGCGUUCGUAGCCGGCCUGAUAAAAUUCUCGGUGAAAUCCUGUGCAAAUCAUAGGGCUGCCGGGAAGACUGUCAAGCUAGGAACCGGGAGAGGCUGAGGGUACUCCAGGAGUAGGGGUUAAAAUGCC